UAUUAUAACAUAUACCAAUUUAGAAUUGAAAAAAAAAUAUUUAUAUAAAAAUAAAUGAAAACAAAAACUCGUGUGGUUGUGCUGAUCGAGAUCUAGUUAUUAUUAUUUGCAGAUCAAAAACUUAAAAUUAUAGUUUCAAUUAUACUCUUUCCGUUCUUAAAAGAUUCAUAUUUUAGAAUUUUCACAGUUUUUAAUAAAUCAUAUUAAAACUUAGCUAUAAAUGCAUAAUUUUUUAUAAUUUUAUAUUUUAUAUAUUUUUAAUACAAUAAGAUUUUAAGAAAUACAAUUAUUAGUUGAAAAAAAUUACAUUGAAAAUAUAAAAUAUAUUUUUUUUAAAACAAAAAUUUUCUUUAAAAUAUGAAUCUUUUAGAAACGGAGAGACUAUAUUCUUUCUAAAUUUUUAGAAACAAAAAUUCAUGUAAAUAACUUCGACCAAUGGGAUACCUAAAACUCAGAAACCAGACAUUCACAUCCACGCGGCAUUUAGAAAGAGAUCUAAUGUGGGAUGUGUAUUAAAUGUGGUCAUUGCUCAAAAUUAAAAACUUGUUUGAAUAUAUCAUAACGAGUCUGUCAAUACAUAGUUAAUGUACAUAAAUUAACCGAAAUAGAAAUCAACCAUUAGUCAAAUAUUAUCUCAAUAAUCCCUUCCAAUAACACAAAUAUUAGUACCUUUUAAUAACUUUUGAUAUGUUCCCAAAAACAACAAUUUGACUUUUGCUUCCUUUUUUACUUUUUUUUUCCGCCGACAUCACCACCUUCUUUCUUUCUCCUUGUUCCUCUGUUUUUCUUCUAUAAAGCCAACACGAGACGCAAGUGAGAGAGAUAGAAUAAGAUAAAACUCGUUUUUCUUGAUCAGAUUUGUUGAUGGUCAUCUAAAACUUAUAACCUCUCUUUUUGUGUGUGUCUUUAUUAAUUUAAUUUAAUUUUACGUUUUGGAGAAAUGAAGUUCUGUAAGAAGUAUGAGGAGUACAUGCAAGGACAAAAGGAGAAGAAGAAUCUACCUGGCGUUGGCUUCAAGAAGCUCAAGAAAAUUCUGAAGAGAUGCAGAAGAAGAGAUCAUCAGAUUGCUUCAAUCAAUCACCAACAUGGCAACAACUGUCCUCGUGAAUGCACAGUUUGUGAUGGAACCUUCUUCCCGGAGCUUCUCAAGGAGAUGGAAGAUGUUGUGGGAUGGUUUAACGAGAAUGCUCAGAAGCUUCUCGAGUUACAUUUAGCUUCUCGUUUCAAAAGGUGUCUUACUUGGCUCAAAGGCAACAACAAUCGCAAAAGGAGCCAUCUCGGUUUGAUCCAAGAAGGCAAAGACUUGGUUAGCUACGCCCUCAUCAACUCAGUCGCCAUUAGAAAAAUCCUCAAAAAAUACGACAAGAUUCAUGAGUCUAGCCAAGGACAAGCGUUUAAGACACAAGUCCAGAAAAUGCAUAUCGAAAUCCUUCAAUCACCGUGGCUAUGCGAGCUCAUGGCGUUUCACAUCAACCUGAAAGAGACUCAGAAGGAUUGCUCUGAAGCUGUUUUGGCUACUCCUCCUCCUGCACUGUUUGAUGGUUGCUCUUUGGUGUUUGAUGAUGGAAAGCCUUUGCUUUCCUGCGAGCUCUCUGAUUCUCUAAAAGUUGACAUCGACUUGACCUGUUCAAUAUGCUUGUGAACGUAGUAGAUGGCUUGAAAACAGCAGACCCGUCUGAAAAAUGCCCGCUUUGCCGUGAGGUUUGUGUUUAUAAAGGUGCUGUUCACUUGGACGAGCUCAGUAUCUUGCUUAAGAGAAGCUGCCGAGAGUACUGGGAAGAAAGACGUAAAACAGAGAGAGCAGAGAGGUUACAGCAAGCCAAAGAGUAUUGGGAUUAUCAAUGCCGAAGCUUCACUGGAAUAUAACAACUUGAUAUG